AUCAUUUUUCAUCUCAUUUCAUCUCAAUUCAUCUCAUCAUUUCAUCUCCUCAUCUCAUCAUUUCCUCCUUUCAUUACAACAUUUCAUCUCAUUUCUUCUCAUCUCAUUUCAAUUUCAUUAUUUCAUCUCAUUUCAUUAUUUCACCUAAUUUCAUUAUUUCAUCUCAUCUCAUCUCAGUUCAUCUGAUCUCAUUUCAUCUCAGCAUUUCAUCUCAUCAUUUUUCAUCUCAUCAUUUUUCAUCUCAUCAUUUAAUCUCAUUUCAUUUCAUUUUUCAUCUCAUCAUUUUUCAUCUCAUCAUUUAAU
rnacentral:lncRNA from 1 species